GAUGAAUGCUGGCGGCGUGCCUAACACAUGCAAGUCGAGCGGCAGCGCGAGUAGUUUACUACUUGGCGGCGAGCGGCGGACGGCUGAGUAACGCGUGGGAACGUGCCCCAAAGUGAGGGAUAACGCACCGAAAGGUGUGCUAAUACCGCAUAUGAUCUUCGGAUUAAAGAAUUUAUUCGCUUUGGGAGCGGCCCGCGUCGGAUUAGGUAGUUGGUAGGGUAAUGGCCUACCAAGCCGACGAUCCGUAGCUGGUCUGAGAGGAUGACCAGCCAGACUGGAACUGAGACACGGUCCAGACUCCUACGGGAGGCAGCAGUGAGGAAUCUUCCACAAUGGGCGAAAGCCUGAUGGAGCAACGCCGCGUGCAGGAUGAAGGCCUUCGGGUUGUAAACUGCUUUUAUAAGUGAAGAAUAUGACGGUAACUUAUGAAUAAGCACCGGCUAACUACGUGCCAGCAGCCGCCGCGG
rnacentral:rRNA from 1 species